rnacentral:rRNA from 1 species
GACGAACGCUGGCGGCGUGCCUAAUACAUGCAAGUAGGACGCAGUUGCGAACGGGUGAGUAACGCGUAGGUAACUGCCUAUUAGAGGGGGAUAACUAUUGGAAACGAUAGCUAAUACCGCAUACUAGUAGAUGGAUCUGCGUUGUAUUAGCUAGUAGGUAGGGUAAUGGUCUACCUAGGCAACGAUACAUAUCCGACCUGAGAGGCUGCUCGGCCACAAUAGGACUGGGACACGGCCCAGACUCCUACGAGAGGCAGCAGUAGGGAAUCUUCGGCAAUUGGGGGAACCCUAACCGAGCAACGUCGCGUGAGUGAAGAAUGUUUUCGGAUCGUAAGGCUCUGUUGUUAAGGAAACGGUACUUAACCAGAAGGGGACGGCUAACUACGUGCCAGCAGCCGCGGUAAUUC